CCUCCUCCACCACCACCGCCGCUUCCUCUCCCUCCUCCCCAUCCAUAACCUUCUCCCUUUCCACCACCACUACUUCCUCCUCCCUUACCACCACCUCCCCCUUCGCUCCCGCCACCGCCACCACCACCACCACCACCGCUGCCUCCUCCACUCCCACCACCACCUCCGCCGCCUCCUCCUCUUCCCCCUCUACGUCCAUGACCUUCCCCUUUUCCACUUCCUCCUCCUCCUCCUCCACCACCACCACUUCCUCCCCCGCUCCCACCACCACAACUUCCUCCACUCCUACUCCCACUCCCACUCCCACCACCACCUCUGCUGCCGCCUCCUCUCCCUCCUCCUCGUCCAUGAUUUUCACCCUUUCCACUGCAUCCUCCACCACCAUCAUUUCCUCCUCCUGUCCCUCCUCCACUACCAUCACCACAACUUCCGGCUCCACUCCCACCACCACCACCGCCGCCUCCUCCUCUCCCUCCUCCUCGUCCAUGACCUCCCCCCUUUCCACGUCCUCCUCCACCACCACCACCGCCGCCUCCUCCACUACCACCACCACAACUUCCGCCUCCACUCCCACCAUCACCGCCUCCUCCUCUCCCUCCUCGUCCAUGACCUUCCCCCUUUCCACUUCCACCUCCUCCUCCCCUACCACCACCAUUUCCUCUUCCGCUCCCACCACCACAACUUCCUCCUCCACUCCCACCACCGCCGCCUCCUCCUCGUCCAUGACCUCCUUCAUCACCGCCGCCUCCUCCUUUCCCUCCUCCACUACCACCGCCACAACUUCCGCCUCCACUCCCACCACCACCACCAGCACCACCGCCUCCUCCUCUCCCUCCUCGUCCAUGACCUUCCCCCUUUCCACUUCCACUUCCACCUCCUCCUCCCCCACCACCACCACUUCCUCUUCCGCUCCCACCACCACAACUUCCUCCUCCACUCCCACCACCGCCGCCUCCUCCUCGUCCAUGACUUCCUUCACCACCGCUGCCUCCUCCUCGUCCAUGACCUCCUUCACCACUGCCGCCUCCUUUCCCUCCUCCACUACCACCACCACUACAACUUUUGCCUCCACCCCCACCACCACGGCCGCCUCCUCCCCGUUCAUGACCUUCCCCCUUUCCACUUCCACCUCCUCCUCCUCCUCCACCACCACCACUUCCUCUUCCGCUCCCUCCACCACAACUUCCUCUUCCACUCCCACCACCACCGCCACCGCCGCCUCCUCUGGCUCCCCCUCCCCCUCGUCCACGACCUCCUCCACCUCCACCUCCUCCGCCACCACUACCAUCGCUGCCGCCUCCUUCCCUUCC
rnacentral:lncRNA from 1 species